AAGUAAAAGUCGUAACAAGGUCUCCGUAGGUGAACCUGCGGAGGGAUCAUUACACAAAUACAAUAUGAAGGCUUCGGCUGGAUUAUUUAUUUCACCCUUGUCUUUUGCGCACUUGUUGUUUCCUGGGCGGGUUCGCCCGCCACCAGGACCACACCAUAAACCUUUUUUGUUAAUGCAGUCAGCGUCAGUACAACAAAUGUAAAUCAUUUACAACUUUCAACAACGGAUCUCUUGGUUCUGGCAUCGAUGAAGAACGCAGCGAAAUGCGAUACGUAGUGUGAAUUGCAGAAUUCAGUGAAUCAUCGAAUCUUUGAACGCACAUUGCGCCCUUUGGUAUUCCAAAGGGCAUGCCUGUUCGAGCGUCAUUUGUACCCUCAAGCUUUGCUUGGUGUUGGGCGUUUUGUCUUUGCUCGCCAAAGACUCGCCUUAAAACGAUUGGCAGCCGACCUCUUGGUUUCGCAGCGCAGCACAAUUUUGCGCUUGCAAAUCAGCAAGUUGGCACUCCAUCAAGAACAUUUUCUUACGUUUGACCUCGGAUCAGGUAGGGAUACCCGCUGAACUUAAGC
rnacentral:rRNA from 1 species